rnacentral:rRNA from 1 species
GAUGAACGCUAGCGGCAGGCUUAAUACAUGCAAGUCGUGGGGCAGCGCAGGUAGCAAUACUGGGCGGCGACCGGCAAACGGGUGCGGAACACGUACACAACCUUCCGAGAAGUGGGGAAUAGCCCAGAGAAAUUUGGAUUAAUACCCCGUAACAUAACGAUGUGGCAUCACAUUGUUAUUAUAGCUUCGGCGCUUCUUGAUGGGUGUGCGGCUGAUUAGAUAGUUGGCGGGGUAACGGCCCACCAAGUCUACGAUCAGUAGCUGAUGUGAGAGCAUGAUCAGCCGCACUGGGACUGAGACACGGCCCAGACUCCUACGGGAGGCAGCAGUGGGGAAUAUUGGACAAUGGGCGAAAGCCUGAUCCAGCAAUGCCGCGUGAGUGAUGAAGGCCUUAGGGUUGUAAAGCUCUUUUACCCGUAGAUGAUAAUGACAGUAUCGGGAGAAUAAGCUCCGGCUAACUCCGUGCCAGCAGCCGCGGUAAU